rnacentral:rRNA from 1 species
AACGAACGCUGGCGGCGUGGCUAAGACAUGCAAGUCGAACGGAGCUUUUUGAAGGGCAACCAGAUGAAAGCUCAGUGGCGAACGGGUGCGUAACGCGUGAGCAAUCUACCUCGAAGUGGGGAAUAGCUCGGCGAAAGCCGAAUUAAUACCGCAUGUGAUCCUGCUUCGCAUGAAGCAGCAAUCAAAGCUAGGGAUCCGCAAGGACCUAGCGCUAUGAGAGGAGCUCGCGUCCUAUCAGCUAGUUGGCGGGGUAACGGCCCACCAAGGCUAAGACGGGUAGCUGGUCUGAGAGGAUGACCAGCCACACUGGAACUGAGACACGGUCCAGACACCUACGGGUGCAG